rnacentral:rRNA from 1 species
AUGGUUGGUAACAGAACACAACCAAGCCAUUCAUUCUUUUGGGAUGAUCUUGAUGCCCUUGAUGAGGAGCCCCCUCUUCCACUGCCCACCAUCAGACUCAAUCAUGGAGAUCUCUGCCUCUCCAUUCUGCCCAUUGUGUGGCUUAACCUCCCCAACCUUGACCUGCAGCCACUCCCCCCUGGGCUUCUCCUGCAGGUUCUCCUUGUGCUGCUGGAUCGUCCCGUCGGGGAACUUGAGCCGGAAGUUCACCGGCGUCGACCACCCGUAGGCCGUAUCGUCGAGCAUCACCUCGAAGAAAACCUCAUAGGUGACUCCUGGUGUGAGAUGGGGCAGUUCCAGCUUCCCUUGGACCUCCAACCAGCAGACGUUCUUCAGCGCCACCAUCUCGAUUCCAGCUUCGGCAGCACUGAUGGUAACAUGUCAGUUUCAGAACAUGGGGUUGCCAAGUCCAGUAUUGGGGUUCUUCGCUCCAAGUGA